CCUACGGGUGGCUGCAGUGGGGAAUAUUGGACAAUGGGGGCAACCCUGAUCCAGCCAUGCCGCGUGUGUGAAGAAGGCCCUCGGGUUGUAAAGCACUUUCAGUGAGGAAGAACGCCUGGUGGUUAAUACCCAUUAGGAAAGACAUCACUCACAGAAGAAGCACCGGCUAACUCCGUGCCAGCAGCCGCGGUAAUACGGAGGGUGCGAGCGUUAAUCGGAAUUACUGGGCGUAAAGCGCGCGUAGGUGGCUUGAUAAGCCGGUUGUGAAAGCCCCGGGCUCAACCUGGGAACGGCAUCCGGAACUGUCAAGCUAGAGUGCAGGAGAGGAAGGUAGAAUUCCCGGUGUAGCGGUGAAAUGCGUAGAGAUCGGGAGGAAUACCAGUGGCGAAGGCGGCCUUCUGGACUGACACUGACACUGAGGUGCGAAAGCGUGGGUAGCAAACAGGAUUAGAUACCCCAGUAGUC
rnacentral:rRNA from 1 species